UUUCUUCUUUUGUUCUUGUUUUACUCUUUUUCUUCUUCUUUUGUUCUCUUAAACUUUAAGAAUUAAUAAAUAAUAAAAGAAAGAAUUCAGAAAGUUAAAGAAAAGAAAAGGAAA
rnacentral:ribozyme from 15 species